rnacentral:tRNA from 2 species
GCCCGGCUAGCUCAGUCGGUAGAGCAUGAGACUCUUAAUCUCAGGGUUGUGGGUUACGAGGCCCACGUUGGGUG